AGCGAACGCUGGCGGCGUGCCUAACACAUGCAAGUCGAACGUGAAAAGGGAAACCUGAGUAAAGUAGCGUACGGGUGAGUAACGCGUAGGUAAUCUACCCCAGAAUCUGGAAUAACCUGCCGAAAGGCGGGCUAAUACUGGAUAGAGCGAGGGAACUCGUAAGAGAGUUUUUCGGGAAAGGGAGCCCGCAAGGGCCUUCGUUCUGGGAUGAGCCUGCGUCUCAUUAGCUAGUUGGUAAGGUAACGGCUUACCAAGGCGAUGAUGAGUAGCUGGACUGAGAGGAUGAUCAGCCACACUGGAACGGAAACACGGUCCAGACUCCUACGGGAGGCAGCAGUGGGGAAUCGUGCGCAAUGGACGAAAGUCUGACGCAGCCACGGCGCGUGAGUGAAGGAGGCCUUCGGGUUGUAAAGCUCUGUCGGAUGGGACGAACAUCUUCAUAGUGAAUAGCUAUGAGGACUGACGGUACCAUCAAAGGAAGCACCGGCUAACUCCGUG
rnacentral:rRNA from 1 species